AAGUCGUAACAAGGUUUCCGUAGGUGAACCUGCGGAAGGAUCAUUACAGUAUAUUGAAUUCUUAUUCAUAUCAACCCACACUGUGUACCUUUUAUCUGUUGCUUCCAUGGGACAUGGCUCUGCCACGUCGGCCUUCGGGCUGGUGAGUUCCCAUGGAAGGAAACCCAAUACUCUUUUUAUUUUUGACAUCUGUCUGAAUAGUUUUUAUAAACGUUAAAACUUUCAACAACGGAUCUCUUGGCUCUC
rnacentral:misc_RNA from 1 species